ACAGACUAAACAGCUCAGAGUAGACUACAACAGUACGACUAAGACAUAACAGACUCAGAAGUAGACUACACACAGUACAGACUACAGACUAUAACAGACUCAGAAGGUAACUGCACACAGUACAGACUACAGACUAUAACAGACUCAGAAGGUAGACUACACACAGUACAACUAUAACAGACUCAGAAGGUAGACUUACACAGUACAGAUAUAACAGACUCAGAGUAGACUACACACAGUACAGACACAGACGAUACAGACUUAGAAGUAGACUUCAAGUACAGACUACAGACUAUAACAGACCAGAAGGUAGACUGCACACGUACAGACUAAGACUAUAUCACAGUCUCAGAAGGUAUGUGGUCAGUGAUGUUGACAUGAGGACCUGUUAGAUGGGUCAGGGUUAUAAAUACUCUGUGUCUGUUCUCCCAGGUAUAGCAGUAGUGAUGUUGACAUAAGGACCUGUUAGAUGGGUCAGGUUUAAACUACUCUGUGUCUGUUCUCCAGGUAAUAGCAGUGUAAUGGCAGUUUAGAAUGUUGACAUAAGGACCUGUUAGAUGGGUCAUGGUUUAACUACUGUGUGUCUGUUCUCCCAGGUUAUAGCAGUAGUGAUGUGUGACAUAAGGACCUGUUAGAUGGGUCAGGGUUAUAACUACUGUGUGUCUGUUCUCCAGGUUAUAGCAGUAGUAAUGGAUCAGUUUAGUGAUGUUGACAUCUAUAAGGACCUGUUAGAUGCGGCCUAUAAGAGAAGAGUUCCUGUCACAUCGUCAUCGACACAUCUGCUGUCUCCUGCUUCCUGGACAUGUGUUGUAGAGCCAACAUGCACCAGGGACACCUCAAGGUAACACACACACACACACCACACACACACACACACACACACACACACACACACACACACACACACACAGGGUUUCAGAUACUUGUAAAAUAAUUGCAAUACUUUAUCUGUACGUGUUUGAGCUUGCCUGGCUUAAAGGUAGACUGUGUGAAAUGAUGUUG
rnacentral:lncRNA from 1 species